rnacentral:rRNA from 2 species
CAUGCAGUCGAGCGAACAGAUGAGAAGCUUGCUUCUCUGAUGUUAGCGGCGACGGUUGAGUAACACGUGGGUAACCUACCUAUAAGACUGGGAUAACUCCGGGAAACCGGGGCUAAUACCGGAUAAUAUUUUGAACCGCAUGGUUCAAUAGUGAAAGACGGUUUCGGCUGUCACUUAUAGAUGGACCCGCGCCGUAUUAGCUAGUUGGUAAGGUAACGGCUUACCAAGGCGACGAUACGUAGCCGACMUGAGAGGGUGAUCGGCCACACUGGAACUGAGACACGGUCCAGACUCCUACGGGAGGCAGCAGUAGGGAAUCUUCCGCAAUGGGCGAAAGCCUGACGGAGCAACGCCGCGUGAGUGAUGAAGGUCUUCGGAUCGUAAAACUCUGUUGUUAGGGAAGAACAAAUUUGUUAGUAACUGAACAAGUCUUGACGGUACCUAACCAGAAAGCCACGGCUAACUACGUGCCAGCAGCCGCGGUAAUACGUAGGUGGCAAGCGUUAUCCGGAAUUAUUGGGCGUAAAGCGCGCGUAGGCGGUUUCUUAAGUCUGAUGUGAAAGCCCACGGCUCAACCGUGGAGGGUCAUUGGAAACUGGGAAACUUGAGUGCAGAAGAGGAGAGUGGAAUUCCAUGUGUAGCGGUGAAAUGCGCAGAGAUAUGGAGGAACACCAGUGGCGAAGGCGGCUCUCUGGUCUGUAACUGACGCUGAUGUGCGAAAGCGUGGGGAUCAAACAGGAUUAGAUACCCUGGUAGUCCACGCCGUAAACGAUGAGUGCUAAGUGUUAGGGGGUUUCCGCCCCUUAGUGCUGCAGCUAACGCAUUAAGCACUCCGCCUGGGGAGUACGACCGCAAGGUUGAAACUCAAAGGAAUUGACGGGGACCCGCACAAGCGGUGGAGCAUGUGGUUUAAUUCGAAGCAACGCGAAGAACCUUACCAAAUCUUGACAUCCUUUGACCGCUCUAGAGAUAGAGUCUUCCCCUUCGGGGGACAAAGUGACAGGUGGUGCAUGGUUGUCGUCAGCUCGUGUCGUGAGAUGUUGGGUUAAGUCCCGCAACGAGCGCAACCCUUAAGCUUAGUUGCCAUCAUUAAGUUGGGCACUCUAGGUUGACUGCCGGUGACAAACCGGAGGAAGGUGGGGGAUGACGUCAAAUCAUCAUGCCCCUUAUGAUUUGGGCUACACACGUGCUACAAUGGAUAAUACAAAGGGCAGCGAAUCCGCGAGGCCAAGCAAAUCCCAUAAAAUUAUUCUCAGUUCGGAUUGUAGUCUGCAACUCGACUACAUGAAGCUGGAAUCGCUAGUAAUCGUAGAUCAGCAUGCUACGGUGAAUACGUUCCCGGGUCUUGUACACACCGCCCGUCACACCACGAGAGUUUGUAACACCCGAAGCCGGUGGAGUAACCUUUUAG